CUACACAUGCAAGUCGAACGAGAAAGUGGAGCAUCCAUGAGUAAAGUGGCGUACGGGUGAGUAACACGUGGAUCAUCUACCUUUUAGUGGGGAAUACCGCUGGGAAACCGGCGACAAUACCGCAUAAUCUCGAGGGAGGAAAGCCGCAAGGCGCUGAAAGAGGAGUCCGCGGUCGAUUAGCUAGUUGGUGAGGUAAUGGCUCACCAAGGCUGUGAUCGAUAGCCGGCCUGAGAGGGCACACGGCCACACUGGCACUGAAACACGGGCCAGACUCCUACGGGAGGCAGCAGUGGGGAAUCUUGCACAAUGGGGGAAACCCUGAUGCAGCGACGCCGCGUGAGCGAUGAAGCCCCUCGGGGUGUAAAGCUCUUUCGGCAGGGAAGAUUAUGACGGUACCUGCAAAAGCAGCUGCGGCUAACUACGUGCCAGCAGCCGCGGUAAUACGUAGGCAGCAAGCGUUGUCCGGAGUUACUGGGCGUAAAGGGUGCGUAGGCGGCUUUUAAGUUUGGUGUGAAAUCUCCCGGCUCAACUGGGAGGGUGCGCCGAAUACUGAGAGGCUAGAGUGUGGGAGAAGGACAGUGGAAUUCCUGGUGUAGCGGUGAAAUGCGUAGAUCUCAGGAGGAACACCGGUGGUUGUAAACGGGCUUUUCUGGACCAUUAACUGACGCUGGAGGCACCGAAAAGCCGUGGGGUUAGCAAACAGGGAUUAGGAUUAACCCUGGGUAAGUCCUAAGCCGGUAAACCGAAUGGAUACUAGGGGUAUGUGGGAUCGACUCCCUUUGUUGGC
rnacentral:rRNA from 1 species